rnacentral:tRNA from 1 species
AGGGAUAUAACUCAGUGGUAGAGUUUCAUCUUGACGUGGUGAUGGUCAUCGGUUCGAGCCCGAUUAUCCCUA